rnacentral:rRNA from 1 species
GCAGUAGAACGCUGAGUCUGGUGCUUGCACUAGACGGAUGAGUUGCGAACGGGUGAGUAACGCGUAGGUAACCUGCCUCAUAGCGGGGGAUAACUAUUGGAAACGAUAGCUAAUACCGCAUAACAGUAUUUACCGCAUGGUAGAUGCUUGAAAGGAGCAACUGCUUCACUAUGAGAUGGACCUGCGUUGUAUUAGCUAGUUGGUGAGGUAACGGCACACCAAGGCUUCGAUACAUAGCCGACCUGAGAAGGUGAUCGGCCACACUGGGACUGAGACACGGCCCAGACUCCUACGGGAGGCAGCAGUAGGGAAUCUUCGGCAAUGGGGGCAACCCUGACCGAGCAACGCCGCGUGAGUGAAGAAGGUUUUCGGAUCGUAAAGCUCUGUUGUAAGAGAAGAACUGUGAGAAGAGUGGAAAGUUUCUCACUUGACGGUAUCUUACCAGAAAGGGACGGCUAACUACGUGCCAGCAGCCGCGGUAAUACGUAGGUCCCGAGCGUUGUCCGGAUUUAUUGGGCGUAAAGCGAGCGCAGGCGGUUUGAUAAGUCUGAAGUAAAAGGCUGUGGCUUAACCAUAGUACGCUUUGGAAACUGUCAAACUUGAGUGCAGAAGGGGAGAGUGGAAUUCCAUGUGUAGCGGUGAAAUGCGUAGAUAUAUGGAGGAACACCGGUGGCGAAAGCGGCUCUCUGGUCUGUAACUGACGCUGAGGCUCGAAAGCGUGGGGAGCGAACAGGAUUAGAUACCCUGGUAGUCCACGCCGUAAACGAUGAGUGCUGGGUGUUGGGUCCUUUCCGGGACUCAGUGCCGCAGCUAAC